GAAGUGGGAUGAGGCCCCAACAAUCAGUCCUCCUCAUUGCCCAGAAACCUCGGGAUGAACUCAGUCCAUGGUUCCAGUGACAGCCUUAGUGCAUCUUUAACUUCCUUCUCAUCCCUAAAACUGGGUUAAUAAUUUCCAUCUAUACAUCAAAGAAUUUGCAUGAAUUAGUGUUAUCAUUUAACAAAGAAUAUUGAACACAUGCUUUCACAAAGGUUUUGUACUAAGGCUGACAUAAUUUAUGGCCUCUUGGAAUGUGCAAUAUGGCAUCACAAUAGAGAAAGCCAAGAGUUCCAUGGCAGCAUUUAACCAUAGGUGCUUGAGGAGACACGAGGACGAUCAGUAAAGGCAGUCUUCAAGAAUACGCAGGAAUGGCCAGGCGACGGGGAGGGGUGAGGAUCAAGGGAAACAGACUGUAGGGAAGUAGUCCGUCUUAUAAUGGAGGAGGGAUGUCCAUGAGGAAGGCGAAACAGCUGGGCUAACCUCAGAAUGUUCAGUGGGUUAGUAUAAGACACCGGAGGGGAAAAGAACAGAUCUGAAAUCCAAUCAUACGGAGCCUUGAAGGCUGUGAGAAAGACACCAGCCAACCUAAAAUCAGCGGGAAGCCACUCGCUCAUGAAAUUCUUCAAUACAGAUUGAUUUGAUUAUAUACAAUGAUACAAAACAAACUGUUUCUGGGAGUGGAAAUCUGCCUUCUGAAAAUGGAAAAAACGAUGAAACUUCUAACCACUGCACAUCAGCAUCAUUAGUGCUGUUCAUGGCUUUCGUCUCUUGCUUCUAAACGAGAGAAAAGGAUACAGAUGGAGACACGUGAGGUGUAGUUGUAACAGGCGGGACUGGCUUCCACCUGAUUUUGAAAGGUGUCAGUUUCUGAUCACAGAUGGACUGCCCAAGAUCUUCCACUUUGCUCCAGGAUUUUUCCCCUGAGCGCUAAAAAUUUCAACAAAUGCGCCUCCCUGGAAAAUAAGAACGAGAGAUGGAGAGUGAAAGACAAUGCUAUGGGAGAAAUUGUAUCCACCACAAGGAGACUAAAACCAGUGCUCCAGCCAUCUGCCAGUUAACAGAUGUGGGAAGAAACAUUAUCCCGGAUUUUAUGUUUAUAUUAUACCUUGACUAUAUACAAGCCACAACCAUUGUGAUUUGGGUCACCUUAGCAGUGAAUUAGUAGGGAAUCCACUUUUAAAAACAUGAUAAACAUCGAUUGUGCCACAGAAACAUUACAGAUGGGGCUCACUGACUUCACAUGCACAGUAUGGAUCAGAUCUACAAAGUAGUCUAAAAAUACAAGUGUAAAGGGCUCAACCUCAACUUGUGAACUAAGCCGAUAAAUUCUUAUCAUUAUGCAUGAAUAUAAACUUAGCAGUCAUAC